UCUUUUACCAGGGGAUCAUGAGAAUCUACUCCAGCAUGACAUGAAAAACAUGUUAUAUUCCGCUCUCUCCAGAUGAACAGAAUUAGCUAAUCGCUAUAUGUACCAACAGGAAUCAGAAGUCGGGGUAGGAUUAUAUCACAAAAGGCGCUGGAAGAGCUCAGCCAAGACGGUGACACAAACAUUUCCAGGACUGCAGUGAUCGUGCACGCUAGCAUCCGACACAAAAUUUAAGCAAUGUUAUACUUACAAAAUG